UACGUAGGUAGCGAGCGUUGUCCGGAUUUACUGGGCGUAAAGGGAGCGUAGGCGGACUUUUAAGUGAGAUGUGAAAUACCCGGGCUCAACUUGGGUGCUGCAUUUCAAACUGGAAGUCUAGAGUGCAGGAGAGGAGAAUGGAAUUCCUAGUGUAGCGGUGAAAUGCGCAGAGAUUAGGAAGAACACCAGUGGCGAAGGCGAUUCUCUGGACUGUAACUGACGCUGAGGCUCGAAAGCGUGGGGAGCAAACAGGAUUAGAUACCCGGGUA
rnacentral:rRNA from 1 species